CCUGACUGGCACUGCAGGGUUCUGAGGCUGGGACAGCUGUGGAGCCCAUCACCUCGGGAGGAAGGGUUUGUUCUGCUCCUGAUUUCCUGGCUCCCAAACUCCCUGCACAUUCUCUCCGGCUGAGUUCAUUCUUGGCUAGUCCUCAAAGGCAAGAGAGCCAGGUGCUGGGGUGGAGUCAGGUUAGAGCCUGGAAGUUCAUCCACCUUUGUGAUGUUAAAGCCGUGAAGAAACAGAAUUUCAAGAAGGAACAUUAAAAAACUCUUGCAACAGCACUCCACCUGAUUGAGCAUCUGCCCAGCUCCGUAAGAGGAAGAGACUGAAGCACCGAGGGGUGAAAUCACUUGUCCAAGGCUGCACAACUGUAACAGAUGGAAAUAUGAAAGAAAUACAGAUGUGCCUGGCCCAUCUCGUCACACAUUAUUUUGAAGGAAGCCAGUUCUUUUUAGAAAAUGACAGCAAGAUCACCAUGGGCUCCCUCUGCUGCUGUCUUAUCCCCCUGGCACUGUGAGAAGAGCAUUUUCCCAUGGAAUCCUGGACCUCUGACCUUUGAGAGAGUUACACACACCAUAACCCAGAGCAGACUCAGGAAGCAGAGUUCUGACUGUGUGGCCUCUUCCCUGCAUGGAGUCCAGGGGGAGGAGGGCAGAGGGGGCUGACCACACCACGUCCACACGCAGAGGGAUGAAAGGGAAUGACUCUAGCCAGAGGUCUAGGUGGCUUGGAGACAGAGGCCAACAGGGCACCCUCUCUACCCAGAAGGUACAAGCACCCACUGCUCUGCUCAGCGUUGGAGACUCCCCCUCGAGCCCCCGACUGUGUUUUUAGGCUCAUUGUGGAUUUCCCUCAUUCGUGGUCCCACUAACACUGCAUGCUUUCUCACAUCCACACCUUGGCCUUCUGAGCGCUUAUUCUCUUUAUCAAGAACACCCUCCCUUCCAACCUUUCUCUAAAAUUCAGUCCAUUAAAAUGC